AAGAAUGUGGUCAUUUUAGGCAGGAAGAGCAAAGUAUACACUGUACACUCUUAUCGACUUGUGCAAAUGCAACAAAUCUUAGAUUUUUCUCCUAGCUUUCGAACUGUAAGGAAAAGGUGGCUCAUUUAUUGUAACACAAACCAAAAAACCAACCUCACAAAGAACACAAAUUGUCAAGCAGCAAAUGAGCCUGGCCUGUUCAGAUCCCAUUAAUGCAAGCUAUUUCAAGACCUCCAAGCUACAGAGACCUUCCCAGGCACCACUACAGUCUACACCUCCUAUAUAAACAACAUUUAUAACAGCUUUAUUGUUGAUUUCUGUUUACACAUAUGCAAAGCUGAGUAUGUGGCACAUAUUCAAAGAAACAGGUGUGCUAAGCAUAACAUUGAUCUAAACUCCGUUUUCCCACAAAUAAGCACUCAACACAGCAACUACAGCAUCCUUCCCCACUUCUUCUUCCUUUGUUUACAUAGCUAAAGAUGAAGUGAUAUGGCACCAUCAAUCUAUUUCCAACUGGCCUCCUACCAAUCAUUGAUAUGACUACAUCAUUGAUGUGACUACAUCCAACGCAGACCCCCUUGGAGGUAAAUUUCAUUUAAAAGUAAAUCAGACUGUUAAGAUGAAGAAUACUGGAUG